CCCCUGCAGCCUGGGAGCUCCUUCCCUCACCCCACGCCCCCUGUCAACAAGACUGAUGAAUUCAAUACCCCUCUCCCCAGCUGACAGCUCGCUGAGCUGACUCCAAUCAGCGGGAUCCCCUGGUCGCCUGACUCAGACCUCCCCAGUCAGAGGCGGGGUCGGCGGACAGACAGACGGUCUGGAGAGGCUGAUGAAGAAACUGAGCACAGAGAGAUGAGAUCCCAAGCCCAAGGUCCAUUAGCUGUCAGGAGCAGAUGUCCCCAAAGAACCUCUGUUCCCAGGGAAAGGCCAGGGAUCAAUCUGCUGGGAACCGCAAAAGGGCCCAAGUGACCACCUGGUAAUUACUUCACCAGCAGAGCGACUCCUACAGCGAG